AUUGAACGCUGGCGGCAGGCCUAACACAUGCAAGUCGAGCGGAUGAAGGGAGCUUGCUCCUGGAUUCAGCGGCGGACUGGUGAGUAAUGCCUAGGAAUCUGCCUGGUAGUGGGGGAUAACGUCCGGAAACGGGCGCUAAUACCGCAUACGUCCUGAGGGAGAAAGUGGGGGAUCUUCGGACCUCACGCUAUCAGAUGAGCCUAGGUCGGAUUAGCUAGUUGGUGGGGUAAAGGCCUACCAAGGCGACGAUCCGUAACUGGUCUGAGAGGAUGAUCAGUCACACUGGAACUGAGACACGGUCCAGACUCCUACGGGAGGCAGCAGUGGGGAAUAUUGGACAAUGGGCGAAAGCCUGAUCCAGCCAUGCCGCGUGUGUGAAGAAGGUCCUCGGAUUGUAAAGCACUUUAAGUUGGGAGGAAGGGCAGUAAGUUAAUACCUUGCUGUUUUGACGUUACCAACAGAAUAAGCACCGGCUAACUUCGUG
rnacentral:rRNA from 1 species